rnacentral:rRNA from 1 species
AGAAUCAACGCUGACGGCGUGCCUCAGACAUGCAAGUCGAACGCGAAAGUCCCCUUCGGGGGCAAGUAGAGUGGCGCACGGGUGAGUAACACGUAGGUAAUCUACCUUUGGAUGGGGAAUAACAACCGGAAACGGUUGCUAAUACCGCAUAAUGCAGCGGCACCUAAUGGUGACAGUUGUUAAAGCGGGGAUCGAAAGACCUCGCGUCUGAAGAGGAGCCUGCGGCGGAUUAGCUAGUUGGUAGGGUAACGGCCUACCAAGGCUACGAUCC